rnacentral:lncRNA from 1 species
UCUGUGUGUUUAGUGGAACGGAUGCCCGGAUGAAUGUCGCAGUGCAUUGUGGGAUAUAUGAGAGGCACGAAGCUGCAUGUUUGUAACGCGACUGCUGUUAGCUGAGUAAUAAAAACCGUUAAACAGUACGUCCUUAGGAGAGUUAUUUCUGCAACUCUAAAGGAGAAACACAACAUGGUGUCAGAAUAGAGCGAUCGAACGAAGACUGCGAAAUGGAUUUUGCCGGAGUUACGCCGCCGGACAUGUGUUGGGAUGCUAACAACCUUCCCGAGGCGUGGCGCAGAUUUAAGCUACAUGUGGAGCUUAUGUUUUCUGGACCACUCAAGAGAAAGAGCGAGGAGGAAAAGUGCAGCUAUCUUCUUCUUUGGGUUGGAGAAAAAGGUAGAGACAUUUAUAACACAUGGUCACUAACUGAAGAUGAAAGGAAAGUGCUUAAAACAUACUACGACAAGUAUGAGACCUACGUCAUGCCCAAAGCUAACGUAAUUUUUGCUCGUUACAAAUUCCACGAAAAAGUCCAGGGAGCAAAUGAGGCAUUUGAACAGUUUGUAACAGACUUGAGACUUCUUGUAAAAGACUGUGCUUAUACAAACAGUGAGGAGAUGGUCCGUGACCGAAUAGUGUUCGGCAUCCAUUCACCCAGCGUGAGAGAAAAACUACUGAGCGUUGGAUCCGAACUAACAUUGGAUAAAGCUGUGGACAUUGCAAGGUCACAUGAAAUAGCUAAAGCACAAAUGAAGACCAUAUCUAGCAGCAGCAGCAGCACGCGUGAGGACAUCGUACAUGCUGUUGGACGACAAGCAUCAAAGAAUCCACCUCGGAAAGACUGGCAGUUUAAAAAAAAAUACUCAGCUACGGACAAACUACGUGAAACCACCAGAAUACCGAGAGGAUGCGGAUAUUGUGGAAACCAACACAGUAAUGAGGAAAAAUGCCCAGCUAAAGGUAGGCAAUGCAAAAGCUGUGGAAAAUGGAAUCAUUUCUCAAAAGUGUGUCAUUCCAAACAAAAGAAAAGUGUUCAUACAGUG